rnacentral:rRNA from 1 species
CUAACACAUGCAAGUCGAGCGGAAACGAGUUAACUGACCCUUCGGGUGACGUUAACGGCGUCGAGCGGCGGACGGGUGAGUAAUGCCUGGGAAAUUGCCCUGAUGUGGGGGAUAACCAUUGGAAACGAUGGCUAAUACCGCAUAAUGCCUUCGGGCCAAAGAGGGGGACCUUCGGGCCUCUCGCGUCAGGAUAUGCCCAGGUGGGAUUAGCUAGUUGGUAAGGUAAUGGCUUACCAAGGCGACGAUCCCUAGCUGGUCUGAGAGGAUGAUCAGCCACACUGGAACUGAGACACGGUCCAGACUCCUACGGGAGGCAGCAGUGGGGAAUAUUGCACAAUGGGCGCAAGCCUGAUGCAGCCAUGCCGCGUGUGUGAAGAAGGCCUUCGGGUUGUAAAGCACUUUCAGUCGUGAGGAAGGUAGUGUAGUUAAUAGCUGCAUUGCUUGACGUUAGCGACAGAAGAAGCACCGGCUAACUCCGUGCCAGCAGCCUCGGUAAUACGGAGGGUGCGAGCGUUAAUCGGAAUUACUGGGCGUAAAGCGCAUGCAAGUGGUUCGUUAAGUCAGAUGUGAAAGCCCGGGGCUCAACCUCGGAACUGCAUUUGAAACUGGCGGACUAGAGUACUGUAGAGGGGGGUAGAAUUUCAGUGUAGCGGUGAAAUGCGUAGAGAUCUGAAGGAAUACCAGUGGCGAAGGCGGCCCCCUGGACAGAUACUGACACUUAAAUGCGAAAGCCUGGGGAGCAAACAG